rnacentral:lncRNA from 10 species
UCAUGUGACAACUGCUGGACAAUCAGGAAACUGCCAAGUCAUCACCUGAUGGUCGUCUGACAUUCCUGGUGGGUGGGGGGAGCCCUCUCUUGCCCUGCUCAUACCUGACCAGCUACCUAUUGUAACAGUUGUAUAUAUGUGUGGUACAGUGCAUUAUCUCAGAUAUUCCUUUAAAAAUGGCCAGGUUAGGUAUUGUUCCUGUUUUAUAGAUGAAGAAACUGAGGCCGAGAGAAUGUCAUACAGUUAAUAAGCUGUUUGCUGGUAUAAUUCAAAGUUUGUAUGAUUUAAAAUACUUUAUACCACACUGCUAUGAUAAAGAACCAUGAUAUGUGGCUGAACUGACAUUCAUUCAGCAGUUUUUACAGUAUACAUUUAUAGAGUACCUACCCUAUACCAAGUCCUGUGCUCAAUCCAUGCUGUAUUUUUUUCUGUAGUAAUCCCCCCUCAUCUGCAGUUUUGCCUUCUAUGGUUUCAGUUAUCCAGUAUUAGCCAUGGUCCAAAAAUAUUACAUGGAAAAUUCCAGAAAUAAACCAUUCAUAAGUUUUAAAUUGUG